CCAAGUGUUCGACUUCCAGUACCACACAGAAAACAGCUUAACUAUUAAGAAAUUUCAACAAAAAGAAAAGAUUUGAACUAGACUGUCUGUGAACAUCAAGUUCAUCUUGAAAUUGUCCUCCCCCUUGGCUCCUACGAUGUUGCCCCUACUUCUUUUCUGCAGAAAAGUAUUCUAUGGAUUUAAAGGAUUCCCCAAAAUUGGGAAGAGGAAGAAGAACACAAAGAAAACAAGCUGCAGUGUUCCUCCCCUUGUGAAGGGGACCCUCUGGAUGAUGGAGAAGCAAUAUGCAAACUGUGGUGCUAUUCUGGGAUCCCAGCUAAGCAUGACUAGCGCAGCCUAGGAGUUACACUACCUUACACCAGAGAUAAGGAAGCCCCUGGACUCC
rnacentral:lncRNA from 1 species